UCCGAUGCACAGACGGUAGAGAUUCCGUCACCACCAAAAGAGUUAAGCACAGGGACACAUUUGAAGUCUCGGAGCCGGGUGUUGGUUCCGGUAGCGAUCGAGGGAAGUUAGUACCGAAGUCCGGGAUGGAAGAUGGCGAGAAAAGCUGUGUGUAUUUCUGCGGUGCCCGUACCGCAAACCGACACAGGUAGGUAGGAAGAAGAUUCUAAGGCCAACGGGAGAAGGGUUGUUAGGGAACUCGGCAAAUUGACCCCGUAACUUCGGGAGAAGGGGUGCUCCAGAGAUGGAGCCGCAGAGAAUCGGCCCAAGCAACUGUUUACCAAAAACACAGGUUUGUGCUAAAUCGAAAGAUGACGUAUACGAGCUGACGCCUGCCCGGUGCUGGAAGGUUAAGAGGAGAUGUGCAAGCAUUGAAUCGAAGCCCCAGUGAACGGCGGCCGUAACGAUAACGGUCCUAAGGUAGCGAAAUUCCUUGUCAGGUAAGUUCUGACCCGCAUGAAAGGCGUAAUGAUUUGGGCACUGUCUCGACAGCCCGCCCGGCGAAAUUGUAGUACCGGUGAAGAUGCCGGUUACCCGCGACAAGACGGAAAGACCCCAUGGAGCUUUACUGUAGCCUAAUAUUGGGUUUCGAUGUUGCAUGCACAGGAUAGAUGGGACACUGGGAAACAAGUGCUUUGGCAUUUGUGGAGUGGCCGUUGGGAUACCAUCCUUGCGAUAUUGGAAUUCUAACCUGCGCCUUUGAAUCAAGGCGGGGGACAUUGUUAGGUGGGCAGUUUGACUGGGGCGGUCGCCUCCUAAAGAGUAACGGAGGCGCUCAAAGGUUCGCUCAGCUUGAACGGAAAUCAAGCAAAAGAGUGCAAACGCAGAAGCGAGCCUAACUGCGAGACUGACGGGUCGAGCAGUAACGAAAGUUGGAGUUAGUGAUCCGGUGGUAUGUGAGUGGAAAUGCCAUCGCUCAACGGAUAAAAGUUACCCUGGGGAUAACAGGCUGAUCUCCCCCAAGAGUCCACAUCGACGGGGAGGUUUGGCACCUCGAUGUCGGCUCAUCGCAUCCUGGGGCUGUAUUCGGUCCCAAGGGUUUGGCUGUUCGCCAAUUAAAGCGGUACGCGAGCUGGGUUCAGAACGUCGUGAGACAGUUCGGUCCCUAUCUGUCGUGGGCGCAGGAUAUUCGAUGGGAGCUGUUCCUAGUACGAGAGGACCGGAGCGGACGUACCUCUGGCGCACCAGUUGUUCUGCCAAGGGCAUAGCUGGGCAACUAUGUACGGAUCGGAUAAACGCUGAAAGCAUCUAAGCGUGAAGCCGACCCAAAGAUAAGAUAUCCCAUUGUUUCAAACAAGUAAGACCCCUUGAAGACUACAAGGUUGAUAGGCAUGAUGUGUAAGUGGAGUGAUCCAUUCAGCAAGCAUGUACUAAUAGGUCGAGGGCUUGACC
rnacentral:rRNA from 1 species